AGCUGUACAGUGGGACAAGGGAGGUUUCGUGGGUUUUAUAUGACUUGACCUGAUUUGGCAAGGCUUUCAUCUGGAGAGCCAUCAUAUUACUUAAAAGAUCAGCCACAAUAUCACCGAACAGAGGAGAAUAGCUGUGAGUGGCACAUUUUCUUUGGAAGUCUUCAAAUGAACUGUGCUUCUUGCUUCAAGUUAUUUUCUGGAAGCCAGUGCAUGCAGAAGAAAAGAGCUGAGAGCAUGAUGAAGCCUUGUCAGAGAUGAAAGUCUGAGAGAAUAUGCAGCACCUUGAACUCUCUACAGAUCAUGAAACAGUGACUGUGCAGAAUGACAGAAGAGAGGCCACUAAGCCCCAGUGCAACUUACAGGGCAAUGCAGCCUUCCCCUAGAGACAAGGAGACAACGAGCCUGGGACUU